UACGUAGGGUGCGAGCGUUGUCCGGAAUUAUUGGGCGUAAAGGGCUCGUAGGCGGUUUGUCGCGUCGGGAGUGAAAACCAUGGGCUUAACUCAUGGCUUGCUUCCGAUACGGGCAGACUAGAGGUAUGCAGGGGAGAACGGAAUUCCUGGUGUAGCGGUGAAAUGCGCAGAUAUCAGGAGGAACACCGGUGGCGAAGGCGGUCCUCUGGGCAUUACCUGACGCUGAGGAGCGAAAGUGUGGGGAGCGAACAGG
rnacentral:rRNA from 1 species